AAUAUUCUUUAUACUAUCGCGGGCAACCGUGAAAAGGUAACCUCGAGUGCCUGUAUAUGGGGCGGGCCAGGUGUCUAAAACACACCUGAAGAACCGGCCGGGCAAGACCGGUGCCAGCCGCCGCGGUAAUACCGGCGGCUCGAGUGGUGGCCACUUUUAUUGGGCUUAAAGCGUUCGUAGCUGGGUUGUUAAGUCUCUUGGGAAAUCCGGCGGCUCAACCGUCGGGCGUCUAAAAAAUACUGGCGAUCUUGGAACCGGGAGAGGUGAGGGGUACUUCGGGGGUAGGAGUGAAAUCCUGUAAUCCUCGAGGGACCACCUGUGGGGAAGGCGCCUCACCAGAACGGCUUCGACAGGGAGGGACGAAAGCUGGGGGAGCAAACCGGAUUAAAUACCCGGGUAGUCCCAGCCGUAAACGAUGUGCGUUAGGUGUAUCGAUGACCACGAGUCAUCAGGGUGCGGAGGGAAACCCGUGAAACGUACCGCUUGGAAAGUACGGUCGCAAGGCUGAAACUUAAAGGAAUGGGCGGGGGAAAGGGCGAAUUCGUUUAAACCUCCGGGAUAAGUCCUUUUAGUGAGGGUUAUUUCUGAGCUUGGGGUAAUCAUGGCCAUAGCUGUUUUUCCUGAAG
rnacentral:rRNA from 1 species